rnacentral:rRNA from 1 species
GGAGGGGGAUAACGGCUGGAAACGGCCGCUAAUACCCCAUAUGCCGAGAGGUGAAAUGAAUUUCGCCUGAGGAUGAGCUCGCGUCUGAUUAGCUAGUUGGUGGGGUAAGGGCCUACCAAGGCAUCGAUCAGUAGCUGGUCUGAGAGGAUGAUCAGCCACACUGGGACUGAGACACGGCCCAGACUCCUACGGGAGGCAGCAGUGGGGAAUUUUCCGCAAUGGGCGAAAGCCUGACGGAGCAACGCCGCGUGAGGGAUGAAGGCCUCUGGGCUGUAAACCUCUUUUCUCAAGGAAGAAGAACUGACGGUACUUGAGGAAUAAGCCACGGCUAAUUCCGUGCCAGCAGCCGCGGUAAUACGGGAGUGGCAAGCGUUAUCCGGAAUUAUUGGGCGUAAAGCGUCCGCAGGCGGUCUUGAAAGUCUGUUGUUAAAACGUGGAGCUCAACUCCAUUUCAGCAAUGGAAACUACAACACUAGAGUGUGGUAGGGGCAGAGGGAAUUCCCGGUGUAGCGGUGAAAUGCGUAUAUAUCGGGAAGAACACCAGUGGCGAAGGCGCUCUGCUGGGCCAUAACUGACGCUCAUGGACGAAAGCCAGGGGAGCG